rnacentral:rRNA from 1 species
UGGUAGGACCAUACCACCUGAACGCAACUGAUCUCAUCUGACUUUGGAAGCUAAGCAGUGUGGACCAUGAUUAUUACUUGAAUGGGAGACCUCCUUGAAAUAACAGGUGCUAUAGG